GAACGGUUGGCUCAGUUGGUAAGAGCGCUCGGAUGGCACUUGAGAGGCGUGGGUUCGAGUCUCGCAUCGUUCA